rnacentral:rRNA from 1 species
UGUGGUGGCGAUAGCCAGAAGGAUACACCUGUUCCCAUGCCGAACACAGUAGUUAAGCUUCUGUACGCCGAGAGUAGUUGGAGGAUCGCCUCCUGCAAGGGUAGGACGUUGCCACGC